rnacentral:rRNA from 1 species
UACGGAGGGGGCUAGCGUUGUUCGGAAUUACUGGGCGUAAAGCGCGCGUAGGCGGCUUUGUAAGUUAGAGGUGAAAGCCCAGGGCUCAACCCUGGAAUUGCCUUUAAGACUGCAUCGCUUGAACAUCGGAGAGGUAAGUGGAAUUCCGAGUGUAGAGGUGAAAUUCGUAGAUAUUCGGAAGAACGCCAGUGGCGAAGGCGGCAUCCUGGACCGAGAUUGACGCUGAGGCGCGGAAA